AUGGAAUGUGACAUUAGCGAAUCAAAUGAAUUGAGUCCCAUUGGGAGCUCAGAAAGUCGCACUAAUGCUAAUGGUUGCUGCUGUCAAAUAGACAGUGAAAAGAAGUCUUGCUGCAGACCUUCCAAAGUGAAUGAUAGUUCAGCUGGAGGGGUUUUUCGUUAUGCUUUGCACCUGCGUUUUCUGAGCCCCUUUUCCAAGAAAUCAUCAAUAUCGAUGCAGCGGACCAAACCUGGCAUGUCAUCAGAACUAUAUCGCGAGUCCGCGACCGAGGAAGAGAGGCGAUUUUAUCUCUACAAUGAUAUUAGAGUUGUGUUUCCUCAAAGACACUCAGAUUCAGACAAAGGCGAGGUAUGUAGAAACUGA
rnacentral:rRNA from 1 species